UACGGGGGGGGCAAGCGUUGUUCGGAAUUACUGGGCGUAAAGGGCUCGUAGGCGGCCAACUAAGUCAGACGUGAAAUCCCUCGGCUUAACCGGGGAACUGCGUCUGAUACUGGAUGGCUAGAGGUUGGGAGAGGGAUGCGGAAUUCCAGGUGUAGCGGUGAAAUGCGUAGAUAUCUGGAGGAACACCGGUGGCGAAGGCGGCAUCCUGGACCGAUACUGACACUGAGGAGCGAAAGCCAGGGGAGCAAACGGG
rnacentral:rRNA from 1 species